GGGCCCGGGGCCCGGCGGGUAGGCGCCCGGGGCGGGGCGCGAACGGGCAAGGUCCGCGGCUGGCCACGCCCACUGGCGGGCCAGGACCGCCCACGGCUGGCCGACCGCCCACCGACCGCCCCGGCCCGCUGGCGCAGAUUAUUUAAUUCUCCUUCCUUGAAAAGGUGGUGCCCGAUUCCCCUCCUACACCCCUUGAGGACUAGCUUCUAAGCAUCAGAGGGAAGCAGAUGGAGUGCAGCGAGGACACGGAGACAAGGAAUCCAGGUGCUCUACCAGCUGCCCCACGAAGGCGCCAUUCUGAAAGCCGGCCCUUUGGAGACGGCGGCCCCAGCAGACACCUCACCUGCGGCCACAGGACAUUCCAAGCCGGACCGUCUAGUGCGACUGCUCCCGAGCCCCUCACCCACAGAAACAGCAAGAAAAGACCUGUUGCUUUAAACCACUGAGUCUCAAGUUAAUUCAUUCUGCAGCAAUAUAGCUCACCCUGACUUAGGGUUCCUUCUUGACUUCUGCCUUUUUUCUGAAGUCCUUCCUCCAGAAUUUCCUUUAGUGAAGUCCCGUGGGUGGUAAACUCACAUUUCGGGCUGUGGGGGGAGGAAAUGUUUUUAUUUAUGUUACCCUCAUUCUCGAAAGGGUUUCCCUGGGUCUGGCCUUGUGGGUUGGUGGUUACGUUGCCUUGGCCAUCGCCUUCCUCUCCCCCGGCCUCUCAUGAGCUCCCUGGUAGGCAACUGCUUUCCUCCCUGGAUUCUUUCAUGAUCUUGCGAGGGAGAAUGUGCCUUUCUUCCUAUUCAGCCUGGCUGGCAUUUGCUGGGAUUUCUGGAUCAGGGAACGGAGGUUUUUUAGACAAUUCUGGAAAACUUAAAACCAGUUUAUCAUCAUAUAGCCCCUCCUUCC